GCUUCGCGCGGAUCGGUCGAUUGCGUUACCUCGCAGCAGCAGCAGCGUGAGAGAGAGAGAGAGAGACCGUGAUUCGAAGAUGCGGGGAUCGGAUUAGUACGUCAGAAGCGAAGGUUGUUGGUUUGCGGUUGUGGAGGGAGGGAAUUGGGUCGUAGUAAAAAGGGCUGUUUUCUCCGGUGAUGAUGUUGUCGUUGCCGCCUUAUUAUUACACGAUGACCGAGUCCGGAUUGCUGGUUGCGAGAGAGUCCUGAGCCUUUAUUCUUCUCCCCCCCCCCUAUUGAUGUUCUUUGUUCCUCUUCAUGUAUUCGGGUAGCAGUGUUUUUUGUCCUCCAUUUUCCAAUUUUUUUUCGUGUCGUGGUUCCGUGCCCGCUGGGUUGAUGAGAGACGAGUGUGUGGUGCUCUUGGUUUGCUAGGAGUGGCGAGGUGGAGGGUGGUGUUUCCGGAGGAAGGGCAGGAUUGGUGAGCUGUGAAGGGGAGUGAACGAGGGUAAGAGCGAGAGCGAGAGAGAGAGAGAGAGAGAUUUGAAGCUGUGAAGGAUCGAGGGGGUAUGGUGUGAAGUGCGUGUGGAAUGGCGCAUGUGGCUUGGGAAGCGCUGAUGGAAGUGCCGGGUCUGUUUUUGUGGUGAGCGUGGGAGGCCGGAUUCGGUCGUUUAAGCUUGAUUCUGGAAUCAGGCGCUACUCUCCCGCGAACCUGUACCUGUUUACAAGAACGAGACAAUACAUUGGUUCAUUUCAAGAUUACGCAUAUUUUCUGCUGUGUCCGUAUCCCUUGCUGCAGUGAUCGUCAAAACAAUGGCCACACCUUUGAGGUCUCUCACCCCAGGGCGGCGAAAUCCAGGGUUGGAGGCUGCUGCCCGAUCGCAAAACUAUCACCGAGCCAACAUUCAGCAGCAGCAGCAGCAGCAGGUUAUGCCUGCACGACCGUCAGGUCCAGUGGCCAUUCUAUGGGACAUAGAAAACUGCCCAGUGCCAGGGGAGGUGAACGCCGAGGAUGUGGCUGGUAACAUCAGGAUUGCAUUGCGAGACCAACCUCAUAUUGGGGCAGUCACUAUGUUUUCAGCGUACGGCGACUUCAACCACUUCCCUAAAAAAGUUCGCGAGGGAUGCCAGCGGACGGGCGUCAACCUGAUCGACGUGCCCAACGGCAAGAAGGACGCGGCGGACAAGGCCAUACUGGUGGACAUGUUUCUCUUUGCACUCGACAACCCUUGCUCCACGAUUGUCCUCGUGACUGGCGAUGUAGAUUUCGCACCUGCUUUGCACAAGCUUGGUCAACGCGGAUACGUGGUGGUUCUCGUUAUUCCUGACGGCGUCGGCGUUUCGCCCGCUCUCAAGGGUGCCGGGCACUACGUGUGGGAUUGGCCAUCUCUUUGCCGUGGCGAGGGGCUUGUCAAAGCGAGGUCGAACUCUAUGCAGAGAUCUCCAAAUGUCUUACACAACCAUAACUCCUUCACUGCUGAGAUGCCCCCUGGUCAUUACUCAGAUUUUCAUCCGGAGAGCCGUCGUAUCCCUUCCAACAACGACGUCGACGACGAUCACGUGUUAGGUGAAGAAAUCUUGGUUCAGAGACGACCUAUCUACAACGGGGCGCACCCCGGGCAUCUUAACAUGUAUUCUCAGGCACAUACGACAUCUAUCGAUUACGGGCAUCAAACGUAUGCGCUGCCAGGGCACAUCAACUCUCAAGGACUUAGGGUGAAUCCGGCAGUACACAUGGUCACAAACCGCACCGCGCCAUCUGCGCCUGCCUCGUUGAGAAGCAAUCGAUCUGUAUUCUCUACUCCAGAAGUCGUUCCUGCUGUACAGCCUGGAUACCAAGCUGUUCAAGCCGGUGAAUUGGGGUUCUCUUCGGAUACAGUGGAGCCAACGAGUCCUGGAGGAAACUCGUGGGUACAACCUGGCGAUGUUACAGGGCUGAAGAAGCAGCUUGUGUGGCUUCUGAAGCAGAACGGGGGCAAAAUGACCUUGGUGAAAGUGCCAGCGGAGUACAACAAACAUUAUGGUCGACCUUUGUAUAAAUCUGAGUACAACGUCUUGAAGCUCGUGCACCUCUUAGAGAAGAUGAAGGAUACUUUGGUGGUCAAGGGUGAUGGCACAAACAAGACCUUGCAUCUAAUCGAGAAGGUUGAGAAAAAAUCUCGCGUCGGGAAUAAAUACAAGCCUUCUACACCCCGAGUCUCUACUCCUAGAUGCGACAAAGACAGCGGUGAAACCAGCGAGGACUCCGACCCUGAGAUUGUCACGGUGAAAGAAGUGAAAGAGACGAUUAAAGCUGAUUUUUCUGCUCCCGAUAUUUCCAGCCAGAAGCACUUGCUGGAUAUGGAUAUGGACGAUGCGAAACCUGCUUUUUCGUUUCCUACCGACUGGGAUACUGUCAAUGACCUCAAGGCGAAACCUGAUGUAGCUAAACCUGAAGUUUGUGACGGUGGGGAGGUUAAAGCUGAAGACUACGAGGGUGAUAUGAAGUUGGCAUAUUUUAAGUGUGAACUUCAGGAGCUAUUAGUCGUUUAUGCUCUUGAAAUCCCGCUGAAGCAGUUCGUGAAGAUUUACCAACAACGGUACACCAGGGUCCUCGACCUACAAAACCUUGGAGUGGACAGCUUGGAGACUUUAUUCCAGAAGUUCAAGGAUGUUGCUGUAUUGAAAGAGAAGCCUGUUGGGGGAGAAUCAGGUGGUAAAGAACUCGUUGUGUCAGCCGUGUGAAGCUGCGAACAGUGGAUGCUGUGAAGUGAUAUCUUUAGGAUUGAUACGAAUCUGCUUCAAUUCUUGGAAUAAUCAUUUCUUUGCCUCCGCGUAUGGAUCAAUUUCUGCCUUCUCCAAUUUGGACGACAUCGAAUCCACUGCUGAACGAGCAGAGCGUUACUUUCCAGUUUGUCUUUUGCGUGUAUAUAUACAUGGUGUAGAGCAAUUCGACUGGAGAUCAGAGCCAUCUACACAGAAAUGUUUCUGGAGAUAUCUUUGGAGUUUCUUGUCGCACCAGCUCUAUAUCAAUCAUUCGGCGAGAACCAAAUCCGCCAAUGGCUUAUUUGUGUUGGUUUGUUUAACUUGAACUGAAGGAAUAUGGCUGGCCUACGUCAUAGCCGAGGCUAUUCUCUCAUGCGACCUUUCAAAACAGGUGUUAAGCGCUUCGCCUGCUUAAGCAACGAGUUGGAUUUAUGUAAAUCCUCUAUUUGAAUCAAAGGGUAUUUUUUUCUACCCCUUUGACUGAUGAAUUAACCAAUUCUGAGCACUGAAGAUCGUGGCGCUAACUGAAGUACGUAGUGGAAGAUUCUUUGCACCAGAGCAGUUAUGCAUUAGUUAUACCACCAUGGAGUUCCAGUCCUUUAGAAUGAAACAAUCUGCAACCAUCGUGCCAACUUUUUGAGGCUCAUGGUUAGCUCUCUUCAUCUACUUCGUUUAGUUCUAGACGGGAUUGCAGCCUCACAAUGUCGCAAGAAACUGCUGGUUUGAGCUGUUUUUUUUAAGCUUAUCAAACCCAGUGCCUCAUACAAUGACGAGAAAUUUUCCUUCCGACCUGUCCAUCGGCCGAAUGCAACUGGCGAGGAGGUGAAGUGACCUCCCUUCACAAGGAACCAAGAUUUGGCCGUUCAAGUGUAGAAUUGCCGUCUCCUACGUGCGGUGGCUUCACAAGCUCACCCUAUGGAGUUGGUCAACAAACACGAGAGAAAAAUCUGGGGGUUCUAUAGGUGGUUCAGUCCUCACCUGCCCAAGCUACUGGAUAACUUUCUGAAGUUCCUGAAGAUCUUCUCGCUGGAGGUCGAGCAGUCAUCGUUUCCGGAGCUGCUUCGAUGAAAUAAACAACUUCGCGCGUCCCUUGCAAUGGAAAAAGUUCUAUAAGCGAAAGUGGGCAUCCAUUUGUUUUUGACAUGGCUCUGCUAUACAAUUUGAUAUUAAUACGCUUGAUGUCAUGCUGGCUAGUUUUUUGGGGCCACAUGGCAACUAUCAGUCAAUAGGUUUCAAUAGCUUCAGUGCAGGAAUCUGUGUCGAUCAGUCCAACUUCACCGAUAUCUGCAUUUCUAAAUACUUUCUGUUUAGUUGUAGAAUUUGGCCAUCUCUAUUAGUAACAGGGGGUGUGUACAUUUUCAGUCCGUAGAGGUCUGCCAUGGUUUUAGCUUCAGAGGAAAGAACUUCGCUCACUACUGCUUCAGCCCCAGGGUCAAUUUCCCAUUUCUUAUUUCCCUGCUAGUGACUUAAAACUGUUUUGAUGAUUGAGAGAUAUUAGUCGAUAUCCUUUAUUGUAUUGACAUAUAGCUACUGUUUUUGGUGUGCUUUGGCAUUGUAGCCUAUACUGUGUCUUUCUUUAAUAAAGCGAGUUUCUUUUUAAGAAAAGAACUAUACAA